AAGUUGCCCGCGUGUUUUUCG
rnacentral:miRNA from 2 species